UACCAUUAUUUUGUCUCAAAUUAUGUCUCUUUUACAAAACUAAUAUAAUAUUUAUUAUUCUUUUUCACGAGCAUACUCUUGUUUAUUGCAUUUAACCAUUAAUAAAAUUGUUUUAAUAAAUGUAAUACAUUUUACCAUUAAAAUAAACACUACAAAUCAUUUUUUUAAUAAUCAUGUAAAAUUUAAAAGGAACACCUAAUUUGAGACCAAGGGAGUAAUAUAUAUUAGAGAACCGAUUAAAGCACAAUACAUGCGAAUAUUGAACGUUUUAACGUUUUCUUGUUUGGGUGUUAACCUUCGGUUAACUGGAAUCUUGGUAAUUCAAAUUUAGAAUUGUUGAGACAAAAUCCUUAUUUGAUGUUUUAAAGAUUACAAACAUAUUAUAUUUAUUUAAUCUUGUUAUCUACUAAUUCGUUUUUGUGAGAAUUUGUUUCAUGAGAAUGAAAUGAGAACGUUCUGGCGAAAACGAUGAAAAUGGAACAGUACAUCAAAAGCAAACAAGUCUGCUCAGCAAGAAAGCUUGGCUGAUUAUGUUUACUUGGGCCAUAAGAAAAGCUUUAAGCCCAUUUGGAAAAGUAAAGCCCAUUAAAUGAUAAGAUCACAUGGCUUACUUAAGCAUGACAUCACUAGAGCAAAAGGACAUGACAUCAUCAGAAGUGGGCUGCAAGUUAUACAGCUCAUCACAGCUGGUUAUCUCAUGCGCAAGCAAAGCAACAGUGCUUUCUAAGUCAGGCAAAUCAGAAAGAACAUUCUGAGAACGUUCUGGCUAUUUUAAAGAAGAAAAGAGAAAUCAAUUGAGACUUUGGACAGCUAUCAAAAACGUGUCCAACAGCUCUAUUUUCUCCCUUGGUCACCAAGACACUCCUCACCUAUAAAUACAAGGGCCUUUGAAGGUCAUAAGCAAGAGUUUUGCAAGCUAAUAUCUCUCAAAGUGAAAAUCAUCACUACAAACAAAGCUCUUCGCAUACAAAGCAAAUUCCAAGCUCUCUCACUAUAUCUCUUGGAUCAUCUCUCUUGAAUUUGCCUCUUGUAAAACUCAAACAAAGAUUUGAGUAUUUAUUCGAUCCAAACAAAUCUCUUCAAACAAAGAGUGUUGUAUUUCUCAAAGUCUAUUGGGCUUAAUAGUUUUGAGAAAGAAAAUUCCAACCUUUCUUUUGCUAGUGUGCAAAGAAUUGUAUAAGCCUGCUGAGGUUGAUAAUACAGAGGUUACGGACUGAUCUGGUGUGAUCAAGAAAUUGUAAUGCUAGUCAGAAGUUUCUGUUAGCAAGAAAACUAUAGUGGAUAAUCUCACACGAGGUGUGGGGACUGGAAGUAGCCGGGUUUGGUGAACCAGGAUAACUCUCCUGUGUUAUUCUCUCUCUCUCUCUCUCUCUCUCUUUAUUUAAAGUUACACAACACACACACAUUAUUUUAUUAAUCUCCAGAACGUUCUGGUCCUUGCUAAAAUAAUCUUUUAACUUAACUUCAUUUUUCUCAUUCUGUUUAUAAUCAUUCUUAAGAACGUUCUGUUCUAAUUCAAUUAAUUGUUAUAUACUCUAAUCUUGAUAAACUAACAUUCACCAAGAUUAUUCUUGAGUAUAUAAAUCUAAAAUUAAGUUUCAGGAAUAAUUUUUAAAAGGGUCACAAUUCAAACCCCCCCUUUCUUGUGACGUUUAUUGCUACUUCAAGAAUGAUGUAAGAGAAUUAUUCCACCGAAAAAAUAAAAUAAUUCAUUAUUUGGUGGAGUUUAUUAAUCAUCUGAGUUAUUUGGAACGUUUUAAGAUUUUGUUUUAAGUUUAUUUACACACAUUAAGAAAACCAAUAAAUUUUGUUAUUUUUGAUAAAUUUUUUGUAUUUUCAUAUAAGUUAUAACAUCUUUAACUAUUUAUUACUUCCUUGUCUCAUUUUAAUUGUAACUUUACUAUUUUUUUUUUAUGCUAACAAAUGCCCUAAUGGAACAAAAAAUAGUAGGUUUAUAUUGUAUUCAAUAAUAUUUUAACUUUUAAAAUCAUUUUACCAUUUCUCAGUACAAUAUUUGUAUUUUUAUCCUCUUAACAAAUGUCAUGAGAGCACUCUUUAGCAUUUUUAUUUUCUUUUUCUGUUAAAGUAAUUUUCACUUUUGAAUAUCAAUGCAGUAUUUAUUAUUCUUUUUCAUUAAUAUAUUCUUAUUUAUUAACUACUCCAUUAACUAUAAUUAAUAGAAGUUUUUAAUAAAUGAUGCAAAGGCUUUGUUUGGUAAAAACAUGGGAUAGCUGAUAGCUUAUAGCUGAUGUUGAUGACUGAUAGUUGAUAAGCUAGUUGAAGUGUUUGGUAAAGUUAGCGGUUCAACUAGUUGAUAAAUGUAAAAUGACAUAAAAAGGUAUUCUUAAUUCAUAAUACAAUUUAUAUCAAUUUAUAUUCAAGUAUUUAGAAUUUUAUAAUUUAAAUUACUUUUUUUAACUUAUUGAAAUUUAUUAAUCUGAUAUACCUUUUAUAUUAUAAAUUAAUUUAAAUUUAAGAUUUAUUUUCAUUUAAGUGUUUGUACUUUAUAAAACAAUUCAAUGCAUUAUUAGCAAGGGAAGAGUUAAAUAGACGUAAUAUUUUUUUAGGUAUAUUUAGUUCAAAACUAAGGAGGUAUAUUUUCAUUAAAUAACAAAAAUAUAUAUUAAGCAACAGCAAGACGAAGUGAAAUUCCUUUUCCUUAAAUAAAAAAAUAAGAACAUACAAAGGUGAAUUAAUAUAUGGUGACUGCAAAUGAAUUAACGAAGCAUAUGGUGACUGUAAUUCAAGCAUUUUUGAAUUCAUUGUUAAAGAAAGAGUCAGAACAGGUCCGUGUUAUUGGAAUUUGGGGCAUGGGCGGUAUUGGCAAGACAACUAUUGCAGAAGAAAUAUUUAGCCAAAAUCGUUCCGAUUAUGAUGGUUGUUGUUUCUUGGAAAAGGUCAGUGAAAGGUUAAAAGCACAUGGUGGAGUUGGAUGUUUAAAGGAAAGCCUUUUAUCUGAACUAUUGAAAGAGUCUGUGAAAGAAUUGUCCGGUGAUAUAAAGAGACGGAUUAGCCGCAUGAAGGUUCUUAUCGUUCUUGAUGAUGUCAAGGAGACAGAUCAGCUCGAGAUGUUAUUUGGAACUCUUGAUUGGUUUCAAUCUGAUAGUAGAAUAAUUCUAACAUCCAGAGAUAAGCAAGUACUAAGGACUAAUGAAGUUGAUCAUGAUGGUCUAUAUGAGGUUAGGGUAUUGGAUUCUAGUGAAGCACUUGAGCUUUUCAAUUUGAAUGCCUUUAAACAAAGUCAUCCUGAAAUGGAGUACUAUGAGCUAUCAAAGAGGGUGAUCGAAUAUGCCAAAGGAGUUCCAUUAGUUCUUAAAGUUUUGGCUCAUAUGCUUCGUGGAAAAAACAAAGAAGUAUGGGAAAGUCAGCUAGACAAACUUAAAAGACUGCCAGUUCAAAAAGUUCAUGAUGUAGUGAAACUCAGUUAUGAUGAUCUUGAUCGUUUAGAGAAAAAGUAUUUUUUAGAUAUUGCAUGUUUCUUCAAUGGGUUGAAUUUGAAAGUGGAUUACAUGAAACAUUUAUUGAAAGAUUGUGAUAGUGAUAAUUACGUGGCUGGUGGGUUAGAAAGCUUGAAAGAUAAAGCUCUUAUAACUAUUUCUGAAGAUAAUGUUAUAUCUAUGCAUGACAUUCUACAAGAAAUGGGUCGGGAGGUAGUUCGCCAAGAAUCUAGAGAACACCCUGAAAAACGCAGUCGAUUAUGGGAUGUUGAUGACAUUUGUGAUGUAUUGAAAAAUGACAAGGUAAACAUUAUAUGGCAUUUUCAGAUAACAAUAGUCAUUUUGGUAAAAAGUAUAUAUUUUGAUUUUCUUUUACAUUAAUGGCAGGGUUCUGAUGCUAUCAGAAGCAUACGUGUAAACUUCUUAGAAAAUAGGAAGCUAAAGUUAAGCCCUCAUGUAUUUGAUAAGAUGACCAACCUCCAAUUUUUGGAUUUUUGGGGUUAUUUUGAUGACUAUUUGGAUCUUUUUCCUCAAGGGCUUGAAUCUUUUCCAACUGGUUUAAGAUAUCUUCAUUGGAUAGAUUACCCUCUAAAAUCAUUCUCAGAGAAGUUUUUUGCUGAGAAUCUUGUUAUAUUGGACUUGUAUCUUGGUCGAAUGGAAAAGCUAUGGUGUGGAGUACAGGUAAUUGAAUAUGUGUCUAUUAAAUUUAUCUUAAUUCAAUGAAUUAUAAAUUAAGCUUAUUUAGUUUAUUAGUCCUUAAUUAAUUUUCAGUUUUCAUUUUGGUCUCAGCAACUAAUAAAAAUUGGUUGAUGUUUAUGGAUUUUUCUGGGUAUCAAAACUUGGGUUUUAUUAUUUAUGAGACCAAAAUGAAAACUGAAAAUUAAUUAAGGGACCAAUAGACUAAAUAAGUCUAUAAAUUAAUUUGUUGAUCUUAUACUUGAUCGCACCAAUUUUUUUUUUGGUAGCAGAAUCUAGUUAAUUUAAAGGAAGUUACAAUCAUUUGUGCAAGCUUCCUGAAGGAGUUACCAGACUUUUCAAAAGCCACAAAUCUUAAAGUAUUGAGUGUCACUGCUUGUGAUAAUUUGGAAAGCGUCCAUCCAUCUAUUUUUACUCUUGAGAAGCUUGUGCAUUUGGACCUAAGUUCUUGUGUUUCCCUUACAACAUUUACCAGCAAUUCCAAUUUAAGCUCCCUCCAUUAUCUCGACCUUUCAAAUUGCCUAAAACUAAGUGAGUUCUCAGUGACUUUAGAGAAUAUAGUAGAACUAGAUCUAUCGGGCUGUCCCAUCAAUGCACUGCCAUCAUCUUUUGGAUGUCAAAGCAAUCUAGAAACCCUGAAUUUAAGUGACACUGAAAUUGAGAGCAUACAUUCAAGCAUCAAGAAUCUUACAAGACUAAGAAAAUUAUACAUACGAUUUUCCAACAAGCUUCUGGUUCUACCCGAGCUUCCUUCAUCAGUUGAAAGUCUACUUGUUGACAACUGUGAAUCACUAAAGACUGUAUUGUUCCCUUCAACAGUUGCUGAACAAUUCAAGGAAAACAAGAAAAGGGUUGAGUUCUGGAAUUGCUUCAACUUGGAUGAACUUUCUCUGAUAAAUAUUGGGUUGAAUCUGCAAAUCAAUUUGAUGAAGUUUACACAUCAACAUUUAUCAACACUGGAACAUGAUGAAUAUGCUGAAAGUUAUGUUGAUUACAAAGAUAACUUUGAUUCUUAUCAAGCAGUGUAUGUGUAUCCUGGAAGUAGUGUUCCAAAGUGGUUGGAGUACAAGACAACAAUGGAUGGCAUGAUUGUUGAUCUCUCUCCACUUCAUCUCUCCCCUUUGUUGGGUUUUGUUUUUUGCUUUAUCCUUCCUGAGACCAAGGAAUAUUGUAAGAAAGUUGAAUGCAACAUCACUGCAAUUGAUGUUGAGGGUGAUGGUGAAAAGGAUGGUUUCAAUAUUUACACGGAUUUGAAACAUGUCUAUAAAACACCAUCAGAUCAUGUGUGUAUGAUUUACGACCAACCUUGUUCUCAGCACCUAACUAGAAUAGCAAAAAAUCAGACAAGCUUUAAAAUCAAGGUUACAGCAUGGACAAUACCCUGGUUUAAUGAAGAGGAUGAACCAAGACGAGAGGUAAAGUUAAAAGGGUUUGGCAUGAGCCCCAUAAACCAGUCAACAUAUCGCAAUCUAAUUCAACAAAUGGAAAUAAAAGAAGCAGAAAAAAAGGAAGAGGCGACAAAACAAAGUGUGACAAAAGUUGGGAGAUGAUGACAAAUGAUGUUGCCUUUAAAUGAUGUUGCCUUCCUUCAAAUGUUGGGAACAGUUUUUUGUUUUCUAGUUUACUGUGUUGAAAUAAUAAAAAAAUAUUGUGGUUAAGAUUGUAUCAUUGUAUGAAUGGAACUUUAUUUGAUAUCAACUAUCUGAUUUGUCUUCUUAACAAGAUAGCAUGAUCAUUUAUUUUAUCAUUUUUUGUCCAAAGAAAGUCAAAAUGUAAUUUGCCAACAUUAAACCUUUUUUUUAUUUUAUCCUUCUUAACGGGUAAUUUCUGGGAUAUUAAAAAUGAACUUGAUAAUUCAAAAGGUGUUUUGAGAAGCUAGAAUAGUUGUUAAAUUUCAGCUUCCUUGGAAAUAUUUAGGUGGAAAAACUUCUGUGAAAAUUGGUCAACUUCAAUCUCCUAGGAAACUAAGUCUUUAUGAUAAUGCAUUUGUUGAUUCUAUUACUUUUUCUCUUGGUUUUCUACCUAAUCUCAGAGGUAUUUAUCUUUUCAAUGACAAGCUUUCAGAUUCUAUUCCUCCUUCUGUUGCUAAUUGUCCAAUGCUUCAAUCUUUUGAUGUUAGUCAUAAUUUGCUUAGUGGUAGAAUCCCUUUUGGUUUAGCAAAUUCCACUAGGAUUUUCAGGAUUAAUUUGAGUUAUAAUUCACUUUCUGGUUCAAUUCCUAGCUCAUUCAUGAUGUCACAUUCUUUAACUAUUCUUAGAAUGCAUUGCUAAUCUAUUAGUUAAUAAGUCUUUUAUCUCUUAAUUUAUAAGCCAAUACUUCUGAUAUUGAUAUCGUACUUGAUAUGUACUAAUGAAUCAAGAUUAGAAGGCUCGUGUUAUGACUUUGUGAUUAACUUGAACAUUGUAUAGUUUUUCUUGGAAUGCAUUUGAGUUUUUAUAUUCACACAAUCACGCAUCGUUGUUUAUUUGUAUUAUCGUAAAGUCGGAACAUGGACUGUCUGUUCUUGAUUAAAUGGUACAAGUCACGUAAUUGUGCUUAAUGUGUGAUUUUGUGAAUUCAUUGCUAAGCAUUAACUAAGUAGUUCUUCGAAUGCAUUUGAGUUCCGAUAUUCACACAAUGACACAUGUACUAGUGGAUCAAGAUUAGAAGGCUCAUGCUUUGAUUUAGUAUUAUAUCAUUAUGGGUUUGAUUUAACAAAGUUGGAUCAUGGGCUAUCCAAUCUUGAUUCAAUGGUUCAGAUCACAAAAUUGUGUUUGACGUGUGAUGUUCCGUAAUGUUCCAUAUUCACACAAUUACACAUAGUUACUGAUAAGUACCGAACUGAUGGAUCAAGAGUAGAAGGCAUAUGUUUUGACUUUGUAUCAUCAUUACAGACUUGAUUUACCAAAGUUGGAACUUGAAUUUAUCUAAUCAAGAUUUAACGGUCCAUGUAUUAUCAUGUAAUUGGUUUAAUGUGUGAUUUCCUGACUAACGGUCCAUGCAUUGCUAUCUGAUCUUGGUUCAAUGGUCCAUAUCACGUACUUGUGUUUGGCGUGUGGUUUCGUGACUCCUGAGAAUCUGAAACUUAUCUUCUUAUGUUUGGAAUGGACUUGCCUCAAUAUGUUGCAUCCAUUGUUAAAGAAGAAUGGACAAAUGAAGUGUUUGAUUUGGAACUCAUGAGGGAUGGACCAACCAUAGGAGAUGAACUUCUUAAUACAUUGAAAUUAGCUUUGCAUUGUGUUGAUCCAUCACCUUCUGCUAGGCCUGAAGUUAAACAAAUUUUGCAGCAGUUAGAGGAGAUUAAGCCAGAAUUGGUUGAAGUUGAAUUUGAUGAUGAUGGAGGAAAGGUUCAAACAAAUGAAUAAAGGGAUUGAAGACUUUGAGUCAUUUGAAUUAGUGGAGAAAACAUAUAUAUUUAAUUCAUUAUUUUAUUUUUUCAUUGAUUUUAUAUAUGUAUAUAGGAUGUGAGGAUUUUGUUUGAGACAUCAAGUAUUUUUUUGAACUAGAUGAAUAAUGAAUGUUAUUUCAAUUGCUAUUUAAACUAAGAUGCAUUUGUUUUGGGUUGAUUCAAUUACAUGUUGGCUUCUUCUAACAGGGGAAAUUUAAAUCCUCUAGUGCUUAUGAUGUAAGUAAACUGUGAAAAUGAGAAAAUAGAAAAUAAAAGAUUGUUAAGUUAACAAACUAAUUGAUUGUUAUAAUGUACCUUUAAUAUCUACAUUUGAUUUGUUCAUAACAAUUGAUUGUUCAUUUUACACUCUAAACUGAAGAAGAGUUGGAUAUGUGUGACAUGAUAGUGUGUCGACUUGGGUUUUAAAUUCAGAAUAGAAGGAGGGGUGAGUUUGAAUGUUCGGUUAAUCCGAGUUCUUUGUUAUUUAUUUAAAAAAUACUAAAUUUUCAAACUUUUAAUCCAAAUCAUUCUAAACUUUAAUUGCCACUCCAUAUAAAAUCCAGAUAGAGAAUCCAAUGCUCUAUGGGAGUGUGAUCCGGUGCGGUAUGGUGAACAGGUGCUCCUUUGCGGGUCUUUGAGGAGAGGAGGAUUGGGUUACUGGACCAUGUUUAUUGGGUCGUUGUUAUGGGCCAAAAUCCAAUAUGGAACAACUAUAUUAUUUGGUUUUUAAAUUAAAAAAGAAAUUGCCUAGAAGCUACAUGGAAGAGGAUUGACGAUAAGAGGUGUUUGAAUAAUACUUAAAUAAAUGAACAAAAAUUGAUGUAUUUAGUUUUUAUGAACUAAGUAUGUUGAUCUAUUUGCGGGUCCACACGGUUAUAGAAAAUUCAAAAGAAGUUUUUCAGAAAGAUGAGAAGGAAGUUUUAGACUUAUUGGACUAGUGGACUUGAGAACUAGUCAUUAAUUCAGCCGCCACUAUUGAAAAAGAAUAGUAAUAUCCAUCAAGAAAUUGCCUAGAAGUUAUUAAUAUCAUUUUAAAGGAAUAUCUAUGUGAUAUGGUUCAUAUAGAUAAUUCUAACAUGUAUACUGGUUGGCAAGUAAACGUUUCCCAGUCCUAUUCAAUGCUUUGUCGGAGUGUAAAUAUGUACUAUUAUUUGUAUAUGAGUUCAGGCUUUAAACUGUAAGGUCAGAAACAUAUUGCUUCUUCCAUAUAUGAGAUAAAGUUGAAACAUAUCUCUACCAAACAAAGCAUUUCAGGUCAGUAAUUUCUUGCUUAUAUGAUUCUAUCCAUUUCAUGUUAUCUUUUAAUUUAUAAUAUAUGUCUUUCGGAGCUUCUCAAAUAAUAUAUGCUGUAAUAACUCUGCUUAUUGAUUCCAAUCAAUGCUGAAAAACUUUAAGAUUUAUCAAUAUAGGUGUACAUGUUUUUAACUUAUAAUAUUGCCGGAGCUUCCUUAUGUCAUCCUAGCCCCAUAUUUUUAAUGUUGUACCGUCUAUUUUAUACUCUUUAAUUAUGAAUGAAAUGAUUUUUUUUUUUUUUUGAAGAAAUCAAAAUGGAAUUUAUUAAAAUCACAAUGAAUACUAACAAGCACAAGGAGUGCCAGAUUAGGAGUCGAAAAGUAGCUACAUACAAAGAAAAACAAAAGUAGCAACAUAAAAAACCUCAACCAACAUCUUUCCACCACCUAUCGUUGCUUGCACACAAUCCCCAAACAGCAACGUCAAGAACCAACACAACAACCAACAACCUUUUAAAAACAACCGGUAACUAUAAUAAUUAAAACAACAACAACCACCUUCGCUACCAUAACAAUCGAUGCAAUCUUAACGAAUCCACCUUUGCAACAACAACAAAAUCCACCUUCAUAAACCACCAGAUAACAGAGUAGUCGAACCGGAUGAGAAGGUUCUGAUCGAACCCAACCAUUGAGGAUCCACCGCCACCUCCUCACACCGCCAAAAAUGUGGUCUACAUACCACCUCACACCACCAACACCUCAUCCACAUAGAUCUGGAGCGGAAGAAAUAACCACCACACAAAAACACCAAACAACCUGCGUUGCGUUUUUUCUAACAGGCAAACUCAAUAUUCGCAGGGAAGAAACACCAAACAACCUGCCUUUGCUCAAUUUUUUUUUUUUUUUAUCUUCUAAGUCAUUUUAAUGACACCAGAAUUCUAUAUUAAUAAUAAAAUGACACAAAAAUAAAAAAAUCAUUUUUAAUUACCUGGCCUUAACGCAACACUUGUUAAAAUGUUGGUCAUACGAAUAACAUCAAUUUUUUAUAAUUAAGUAGUAGAAUGAAUUCUUAAUUGUUGCUGUAUUUUGUUGUGUUAUUCGAAUCUCACCUAAAUUUUUAUAAAGAAUCUAAUACUUGUUUUUUUUUGUUAAUAAGUUGAAGGGUGUUGCGGAAAAGACAAUGUCAAACAAUACUCCUCCUCAUUCAAAGUAUGAUGUUUUUGUAAGCUUUAGUGGCAAGGACAUUCGUAGCAGCUUUCUUAGCCAUUUGGUUAAGGCUUUUCUUCAAAAGCAAAUAAAUGCUUUUGUUGAUGACAAACUUCACAGGGGAGAUGACAUAUCAGAUUCACUUGUUGAAGCAAUCAAAGGAUCAUCCAUUUUGUUGAUCAUAUUUUCAGAAAAAUAUGCUUGUUCACAUUGGUGUUUAGAAGAACUUGUGAAAAUAGUUGAGUGUAAAGAGAAAUAUGCACAAAUUGUAAUACCCGUUUUCUACCGGGUAGAUCCUACAGAUGUACGACAUCAAAAAAGGAGUUAUGAAAAUGCAUUUGCUGAACAUGAAAAAAAGUAUAGCUCAUAUGAGGUGCACAUGUGGAAACAUGCUUUGAAAACAUCUGCUAAUUUGUCAGGAAUUACAUCAUCAAGUUUUCAGUAAGUUCUUUCAACCCGUACAUUUUUUUUUUGUUUAUAGAUAUUCAUUUUAUAUAUAUUAGCGGAAAGAUGGAUACUCGAUAGCAGAAACCCUGAUAAAACAUGAGUUAAACAAAUGUUUAAUAGAAAAACUACAAUGAUUUUUGAAUUUUGUAAAUUCGACGAGUUUUUAAAAUUUUUAUCAAUCGAUUUUUUUAUAUAUUGACUAAAAAUUUGUUUUACAACAUAUAAAAACAUAAAAUUUACAACGGAUGCGGUGUGAACAUUUAACGAAUUUUUGCAUAUAAAAUAAACAAAUAUUUAAUAAAAUCAUUACACUAUUGAUAAUAUUUAUUUAACAUUUUUAAACAUUUCACAAUAUUAUCAAUAUAAUUGUUUUUUAUAAGGCUAAAGUGCACUUUUCCCCCUCUAACUUUUAAAAUGUUGCGAUUUUGGCCCCCCAUGUAUGAAAACUACAAUUUUGGUCCUCUAUGUUUUAGCCCAUUUGCAUUUUCAGUCCUUUUGGGCAAUUUUGACUUGGUCAAUGGUGAUAUGGCAUGCCAUGUGUGUAUAUACUGAUUUUCUUAUAUUUUAAAUGCCACCAUAAUAUUACAUGAAUUAAAAAAAAAAGAAAAAAAGAAAAAAAAAAGGACUGGCACGUGAGAGAGUUUACAACGGUCAUAAUGGAGAUUGGGGUCAGAUUUGGAGCUUUUUAAUCCCUAAUUUAUGCUUCAACAUACCUUCAACCGCUUCCUUCCUUCCAAAAUAUCCAAUUUCAAGAACGCACUCCAUUGCUAGUAAACUCAACUUCAUAUUAUAUGAAUUCAACAACGCUAUGACUUUUGUUAUUUCUCCGUUUGAUUCAAUUUCAUCGACUAUCGAUGAUCUAAUUGAUCAAAGAACAUAGAACUUCAAUUGACGAACAGAACCGAUAUCAAUCAAAGCUUCAACUGUAGGAUUCAUCAAAACCUCACCUACGAAUACAUCUUUGUUGAAACGAAUCAACGCUGAAAUUGCAAAACCGGCAUGUUCGCGAAUUCGGUGAGAAGCGACUCUAGCGAACAAAAUAGUUUGAGAUUGAGAACGAGUUGUUGUAACUCGCGGUUGAAGCCUUGUGAGACUCUGUCAGAUAACCGAGUUAAAAGUUGAAGCAACUCGUCUUCGUUUUCAUUGUUAUUGUCGGAGACGAGACAGGAGAGGGUGGUGACAGUUUCACUGUCGAUCCAUGAUUGAAGUUCGGAUUCGAUUGCGGCGGAGGUUUUGGUGAUGGAGUGAGAUGAGAUGGGACGAGUUAUGAACGAUUUGAGACUCGGUUUUGAGCUUUGGAGCGAGUUGACUAGGGAUUUGAGGUGGGUGAGGUGGUGAGAGAUGUUUGAAUUAGUUGGAAGAAUUGUGUGGAGUUGGAAAAGUGCUUUUAUGGAAGAUGAAUUGGAAUCUGAGAAGUGCUUUUAUGGAAGCGAGUUGACUCGGUUUUUUUUUUAUUUUUAAUUCAUGUAAUAUUAUGGUGGCAUUUAAAAUAUAAGAAAAUCAGUAUAUACACACAUGGCAUGACAUAUCACCAUUGACCAAGUCAAAAUUGCCUAAAAGGACUGAAAAUGCAAAGGGGCUAAAACAUAGAGGGCCAAAAUUGUGGUUUUCAUACAUAGGGGGCCAAAAUCGCAACGUUUUGAAAGUUAGGGGGGGAAAAGUGCACUUUAGCCUUUUUAUAAUUAUCGCAAUGGUUCGCGGAAUGUAUGAAUGCACAAAUCUUUUACCAUUUAAUACAAUUAGAUAGAUUAGAUUAGAUGUUUUUUUAAGAGUAGAUUAGAUUAGUUCUCUCCCCUCGUUCUUAGUUUCCAGUUUAAAGUUUUUUUAACAUAUCUACUUCUCAAAAUAGAUCUCUUUACCAUUAUUUUGUCUCAAAUUAUGUCUCUUUUACAAAACUAAUACAACAUUUAUUAUUCUUUUUCACUAGCAUACUCUUGUUUAUUGCAUUUCACCAUUAAUAAGGUUGUUUUAGUAAAUAGAAUACAUUUUACCAUUAAAAUAAACACUACUAAUCAUUUCUUUAAUAAUCGUGUAAAAUUUAAAAGGAACACCUAAUUUGAGACCAAUGGAGUAAUAUAUAUUUGAGAACCGAUUAAAGCACAAUACAUGCGAAUAUUGAACGUUUUAACGUUUUCUUGUUUGGGUGUUAACCUUCGGUUAACCGGGAUCUUAGUAAUUCAAAUUUAGAAUAAAGUAAGAGAAUUAUUCCACUGAAAAAAAUAAAAUAAUUCGUUAUUGGGUGGAGUUUAUUAAUCAUCUGAGUUGUUUGGAACGUUUUAAGAUUUUGUUUUAAGUUUAUUUACACAUUAAGAAAAC
rnacentral:lncRNA from 1 species